UACUCUUAUUGUAAUUAUUAAUUAUGGAACGUUAACAGGUUAAAAAUGAAAAUUCAGUGGAGAAUAGAUAAGUUCGUUAAAGGUAUGACUUGGUAACUCUGCGCAAAGCACCCACCCGCCAUUAGUAGUCCUUAUUAGAAAGAGCAAAGAAUAAAAGAUAAUUUCGAUAGAAACUGUGGCAAAAUAAAAAUGGUACAGACUUAAUUAAUUCUAUGUAAUCGCGGCUUCAAGGAAAGUAGUUUCAUCUCGUGACAAUGGAAGUCAAUUUAUGGAAAUUAUAACACAACUAGCAUCGGAGCAAUUUUGUUUAAAAAGCAAAAAAAAAAAAUUUGUAAGCGAUAAUAGGUGACGGCGACUAUAUAAAUGUCACUUUGUUGCUUUUGAAAAUGAAGUGUAUUUGAAGAAAAUCAUCUCAAUGAAGGGGCGUUAUGCAAAAGCAUGGGAUGAUGAUCAUUUUAUGCACUAUAAAAUGCUCUAAAGCAGCAUUAUUUACUGCCUUCGCUAACAAACAUACGCAAAUGCUAAAGAAUGACGAUAAUGUCAAUAAACUUCAUCUUAAUACUUACGUUUGAGAUGUUCAAGUUGUGCAGAGUGAUUAGCGUAAUAUGAUAUGAUGCCCCUAGGAGAGCUUAAGUCUUGGAAUUUUGAUGUUACAAUCACGCAUCGAACACCGCAAUCCCAAUUCAUGUUUCGAGAAGCACAUAGCUACGAAAAUUAAAACUGUGUCAUGGAAAAAACGAUCUAAAGAUCCCGUUGACGAUUACUAAUUGAUAUUAACAUAAACCAAAACUGGUUGUUAUGAUUUGAAUGUUAUUGCAAUUGUACACCGAACUUUCGGAGUGAUUUCCACAAAACCGAAUGGCUACUUCUUUUGUAUCCUUAAAUUCACUUUUGCGCUUCCAUGUGCAAAUGUUUCUGAAAGUGAAAACAUAGUUUAAUUUUGAAGGCGGUUCCAGAUUGGUCGGUAUGCCGCUUGAUAAUUCCGGAAGCAUUAGCUGCAACCAUUUAUACCAACGCAAAUUCUUGGCUGUUCUAUCCAGGAAUUACAGUUAUUUGAAAAGAUGAAUGGCGUCGGGGAUGAAAGACGGGAAAAGAAAGCCAUCAACUUUUGCUUAAGCAUAACUGCGGAAUUAUAUUAAUAUUUUUCACCACAGUAACUAAUUUUCGAAGCGGAGAAAAUGUAGUGCAUUACGGACGUAGCGGUGAGUGUAAUAAACAGCACCUUGAUAGAAUCAAUAAAGAUUUAGAACUAAGACAUCGAAAUUGUUAAUACGAAAGUACAAUUAUAGCCGCAUAAAUAGUAUUCUUUUUCUAAAGCUGAAAUGAUGCCCAUGAAAUCCAGAAAUACUUUCACUAAUUAAUGAUAAUUUAUUAAAUUAGAUAUGUCAACUUUUUUAUUAUACGUCUUGAAGAAAAAUUUAUUAUUAAUUUAUAUUUGAUAUUAUUAUUGUUGCUAUUAUUGUUACAUUACCAAAUACCUGCAAUGUCCAGAAACAUAUAUCGGAGAUUUUAUAAAAUAUUCUCCAUUGGUCCCAAGAAUGCAAGGAAUAAUUGUUUUAAGAAGUACUUUUGUAUUUAACACUAAGGCAUACCAGAUUUGUCCUUCUCAGUCCAAGAAAUAUGCAUAAGAGAUGAUUUCAAGGCUUUUUUGAUCAUUUAUUUUUUGCUGAUGUAUUCCUAACUUAAAUCGAGAUAUCAUGCUUAAGAUUAAGCUACUACAAAUUCGCUAUAAGACAUGUACAGAUUUCUUACUUGUUUGAAACGAUAUAUUCCACUCUUUAAUGAGUAGAAAAGUGGUUGAACACCAAGAAGUAAUACGUUUCCUUACAUCACUCGCGUCACGACAAGACCGAUAGAAUUGCGGAAAGCCCUGAGUACAUUUAACAAACCCUGAAAGCUAUUGAACAAUGUGGUUUUACUAAAAUUAUAACAUGAAGUGUGGCUUUGCGUUUUAAUGAACAUUAAAAAAAUAAUAACGAAACGAAUAAUAAUAAUAUUUAUUAAUAAUAUUUAAUAAUAAUUAUAAAUAAAUAAGAGUAAGUGUUUUCAAAUAUGAUUUCCUUAUAUCGGUGAACGAAACGCACUUAAAUAUCUCCGUUGAAGCGCCUUAUGUGUCGAUCACAUUUGUACAGCAGUUUGCGGAUUGGCCCAGUUUUUGUAGACAAUAUUGGUGUUGUUAUAUUGACUCUUCCCACUUUCCAUUGCCGCUUGAUUAAAAAGUAAUUUGAAUAAAUUGUGAGUUAAACUGUGAAGAAUUUUGAAAUUAAAAAGGAAAAAAAAUAAUUUAAAAGUAAUUGAAAGGGUAAAUUCAUUUUUGAAAAAAGUAUAUUUGCACGCUGUUGUUGCACUACAUGUGUAAACUUAAUCGUGUUAAACAUCGCACACAUAAAUAUAUAGUUGUAAAAGCGAUUUCUUUGUAUUUACGUACUUAAAAUUUGUCUACCCAUUUUUUAAAAUAAUUUUUAAUGAAUAAGGAAAGUAAAUGUAGAAAGAAAAGUAGGGAGUUUUUAUGCGUCUUCAAAUUGGAAGAAAAAUUUUGUAAGAAGUGCAUUAAAUGCAAACUAAAACAAUAUUGAGAAGAAUUCUUUCAAAUCAAUGGUGAACAUGUGCCUGCACUUGGGGUUUUAAUCAAAAUUUUCUGUGUUCUUCUUCGUAAUCUCAAUUGGUGGUCGGCGUCCUGACAAGGUUCUAUUACGCACGAGCGUGCUCGACUGACAUAUAUUCUCAUACUCCAAGAAGGAAUAAUUCCUUGAUAUUCAAAUCCUACCAUGUUUUAAAUUCAUGAUUUAUAUUGACGUACCACCAAAGAAAUUAUACCCCAAGUGACAAGAUCGCAUAAACUUUAACUAAUAUCGGGAAAAUCGCAGUAUUAGGCACCCUUGUCAAAUCUUCAUCACCGAUUCCCCUUGUGUGCGGUCCUGCCAACAAAUCAAAACCUCUAUUUCGGAAAUUUGCUAACAGAUUGACGAAGCGAGAUAAUGAAAUUCCUUUACCUAGUCAAUAAAACAAAAAAAAUGGUGGGUGAUAAAAACUGAUAAAAUAUAUCAUUUUUAAAAGGACAUUCAUACAUAAUAACCAAAAGCAAAAUCAUUCAUCAGCGAUAAUGGUAGAUUCUGUAAGGUUAUGUCGACCACUGGUAGUUGCUUUUGCCUGUUUCCAAUGCUCACUAUUAAAAUUAAAAAGCUAAGUCACAUAUUACGCAAUCUAGCGACCAACGCUUAUUGAAAAAGAAAAGGACAUUUUACGAAAAGAGUUACUUAUCUGGGUUAAAUUUUCGUUUGGCUUUGUCGUAGGCGACCAACGUUUGUAUUGAAAUUACGCAAUAACGGAAAUAAUGAAGAAAAUCACAAAAAAAAAUGAAAAAAAGGUAAAAUCAAACAAAAUAUUGGGUUAACUAUUCCGUUGGGCGCCACUUUGUCACGAUUCUGUGGCCAACGUUUAAUUGAAGAAUUGCAGAUUGGAAUUAAAUUGCAAGUUAUUAAACUAUCACCUGUUCGUUUUGCGUUGGGCGCCACUUUGUAAUGUUUUAAUUACAACGCACAACGCAAUCAAAAAUUAUAUUGGAAAAAGGAAUUGAAAAAUGAAAACUGUAUUUAAUUACACCGGGUUCUAAUUCCGUUGGGCGCCAUUUUGUAAUGUGCGACCAACUUGUAUUGAAAAAAGGAAGGAAGAAAAAAAGUGCAAUAUAUAUAAAAGGGCUGAGCAUCGGAAUGGCAAAGAAAUUUCUGCGUCAGUCCGACCCAGAAAAUUCCCUUGCUCCAAUUUUUCGUUAAUGCUAUAAGAACCUCUAUAUAUAUAGAACAAAAGGUUCACUUAUUGCUGUUAGUGGUACAUAAGUGUAGGUAUAUUUAACUUAUUUAUAUGUCUAUAUAUAUAUAUAUAUGUUAUUUAUUUCUCACAUCGCGCACAAGGUAAUUCAUUCGACGGCUGAAUAAUGGUAUGAAAGCCAUCUAAUACUUGCAUUUACAUCCACACAUCUACACAUGUCAUUUUUUUAAUAUUUCUUACAAAGCGUUAAUUUUAAUAUUUGCUAGAUUUCAUUUGUUCAUUUUCUUCGUUUAGGCAAUCAAAAAAAAAAAGGAAAGUAAAGCAGUAGCAAAACUUUGAAUUUUCUUCUCUGAAAAGCUUUCUUUAGUGCACGCAGAACAGUUGGCGUGUUCUAGGGCCUAUCGUUCAACUGGGCAUGGGUCGAUUAGAUAAGAGUGUCAAACUUUCAAUUUCUCUUUUCCUAUUUCUGUUCUCAUGCACAGACUAAUUGAUUGAACAUUAGAAACUGCAUUAUGGUUUUCUUCUUUUGUUUCUUUUUCCUUUUUUUUUUGCAUGGCGUUAUAUUUGUGCAAAGGCUUAUUUUGUUUAGUGACCAACAUAUCUUAAAAUGGAUGUAUAUAUGUGAAUACAUGAGUGCGUACAUCUAUAUAUUGAAAUAGAAGAGAAGCUUGUAAUAUAAUUAGUAGACGAAUUUUCCUUAUUGAAAAUUCUUACUUUCAGCACCACUUAUGUAAUUUAGCGGCUAAUAUAGGUGUAUUAUAUUUAAUAGGACUGCGUCUUCAAAUAAAACAGUGUGUAAGAGAGUUUUUUUUUUGUAAUAAAAGAACUUUCCGUUUUAAGUUACCUUAGCGCGCCGUUUGUGUAAUGUAGUGACCAAUGUAGGUUUAUUAUAUUUAAUAAAUGAUUUAAUAAAAUUACGAGAUUUAUUUUUUCUCGUUUAAUGUUUUCGUUGGGCGCCAUUUGUUUAACGUAGCGACCAAUGUAGGUAUUGUGAGGACGUUUCGUCCCUUUUCUAUUGCUGGGGCACCUCAGCGUCCCAGGGAAGGAUAACGCAAGACAUUUGAAUUCGCAAGGACUCUUUUUAUUAUUCUUAGCAUUAUUUCUUCACUUUGUUUUAUCAUUCACACCACUCUUUAACACGACUCUCGAACUUCGACUCAUUUAUUUCGACUCGCUUACUUCGACUGACUGACUUCGACUCCUCACUAAAAAUUAAAACUAUCCUAUUCUAUUCUUAUUCUAUUCCUUUGCUAUCUUAAUCUAUUCUUAUUCUAUUCCUAUGCUACCUUAAUCUAGCACUACCUUCCCCUCACCAGAGACAGAGAAUCCGUGAGACCAAAACGAGGGACGACUUUGGGUCCUCACAGUAUAUUAUAUUUAACAUUUAUAGCUAUAUGACAGUUAGACAAAUAUGAAAACUGAAGAUAAUAAUAUAAAUAUAUAUAUAUAUAUUAAAUCUAAACACCAUAAGAUACGAAUGCUCAAUAUGAAAUUCAUCAUUACUAUCGGACAUCUGGUCUGCUUGUUCUGCAAGAAGCUCAGUAAAUACCCAACAUAAGAGUCCUCCAGGGUCUGGAAAACCUAAAAGAUUGGCGGCGAACUUGCAAGAUAGAAGAGAUGCGCGAUCUCGGAUUCGAGAAUUAAUGGUUCCAGCUCUCAUCGGGGCCGUAUCGUGACUUUCAAACUUGUAAAAGAA